AUCCUGGACUCAGGACAAACGCUGGCGGAAUGUAUUAGGCAUGCAAGUCGCACGAACCUUCGGGUUAGUGGCGGACGGGUGAGUAACGCGUAGGAAUCUGCCUUAUAGUGGGGGACAACGUGGGGAAACCCACGCUAAUACCGCAUACGCCCUACGGGGGAAAAGCGGGGGAUCUUAGGACCUCGCGCUAUGAGAUGAGCCUGCGUUAGAUUAGCUAGUUGGUAGGGUAAAGGCCUACCAAGGCGACGAUCUAUAGCUGGUCUGAGAGGACGAUCAGCCACACUGGGACUGAGACACGGCCCAGACUCCUACGGGAGGCAGCAGUGGGGAAUAUUGGACAAUGGGCGCAAGCCUGAUCCAGCAAUACCGCGUGUGUGAAGAAGGCCCUAGGGUUGUAAAGCACUUUCAAUGGGGAG
rnacentral:rRNA from 1 species